UCCAGUUUGGAAAUAAAUACUAGACCCAACGAGCACAUCGAUGUUUCAUUCCUGGAUUAUCAACUUUGUAAAUUUUUUAAAAAAUAAAUCCCAGAUUUUGGGAAUGUGCAGAGGCAUGGAUUCCACCUUUCUUCCUCACACUCCAAGCAAGAAGGGAAGAUCGGAUGGAAAGCAACAAAACACCUAAUUUGGAGCCUGAGAACUCAAAGGACAACCUCAGAAAGCUGUAGAAGAGUCUGCUCUCAGCAGAGAGAAGAAACACUGUGUGAAAACAGCGCACAGGGACAGCUGUGCAGCUCUGUCCCAUGCUUUGGGGAAGACACUCCUCAGUCCUUCGUGGAAGUGUGAUUGAUCCCUGCACCCAGACACCUGAAGGGGAGCCAGAUGCCUUGAUCUCUUAGCAGCGAGGGUAUGUUGUCAACUUUCAAGUCCCAACAGUCAAGUGUGUUGGUCAUAUAUCCUCUACAGUGGGGGCAUAUUAAUGAUUCAUUCAUUUUGUUAGUUUUUUGUUUGUUUAUCUGUUUGUUUACUAUUUGGUCCAAGUUUGAUCUUGAAGGUUCAGAUUCAAGAUAGACAUUGAAAACACAUGUGUAAGAACAAAAUCCAACCAGCUGAUAAGCAAAAUUCUGACAAGAAUCUAAUAUAAUAUAUAUACAUAUAUUAUAUUAUAUAUAAUAUAUAUAUGUAAUAGAAAAUAUAUACCUGGCCAAUAAGGCAAUUAGGACCACAUCUGGUUUCCUGGAGCAUGAGUGACAGUAUAAUGCUGGUGCCAUUGAGACAACAAGGAAUUGUGAUCCUGAAUGGAUCGUUUGUUUGGCAGACAAGGUAGUCUCCCUUUGCCUGCUUCUUUAGGAGCAGAGAUGUAUCUGUCUCCCCACUGCUACAUCCCUCUCCCCCAAUAUCACAAAAUGGCUUCCUUCCGGACCCUUGCAACAGCCUUCUGCACCAUUGGGUAUAGUUGGGGAAAGGGUGCUAAACUUCAGGGCAGAGAACUCAGAAGGUGGGUGAGGAAAUCAAGCAUAUGGAAGAGACUGGUUUUUGCUCAGCUCUCCACUUUGUAGCAGAGCCAGACUGACUUAUCACUAGCAAGGCGGUGGCAUGAUGGUGACUCAACACAGACAUACUCACCUACUCUGCAGGAUGGAAGUGUCAAUAUAGUGUCAAUUUCCUUGUUUCCAAGUCUUUGUCAAUGCCCCCAGUUUCCUAUGAUCACCCAAUUACAUGAUCUUUGAGAAAUGCUUGUCAUAUUAAUAGGACACUUUCUCUCUAAGCCUUAUGGGGUCUAUCAGCUCAUGUCUGCUACCUCCAGGAUGUGGACAACUAGGAGACAACAGAGAACUUCUUUUGGGAUAUGCUGUGUGUCCAAGAGAACCUUAAUCUAAGUCUACCGUUCCCCAAGCCAGUCACAAAUGUAGGUAGAUACAAACCUUGGAUGCACUUUAUGUUCCUUGUCAAUUAACAAAACUUACUUCAUUCCAGUAAAAGUAUAUGGAAUAGUUGCUAAUGUUCUUAAGGAUUUCUGAACAUUUAAGGCUAUUUUUGGAGUGAUAUGUUACACUAUAUGGGAAAAUUACUGCUGUAUCACUUGGAUAAAAAUGGUACAAUGUUAUCUAUAAUUUAACCUUGUCACCUGAUUCGUAGUCAAUGUCUACUAUACUAUUUUUAUUUCUAAUUUUAAUUAUAUAUAAAAAUUCUAUGUCACUGACCACAGCUAUUCUUUGUUACUAAAGUUUUUUUUUGUUUAUUUUCUUUUAGGACGUUAAACUUUUACAGGUGCCCUAUAUAAUUAUUAAAUUUUGAAUUUUAAUAUGAUCUAAAACUGUACUUUCAUAGGUUAACUUAAGUUGUUUAUAGAUAUAGCUAUGUCUGAUUUAAUGUCUGUCAUUUCUAUGGUUUCUGGUUUAAUUUUUCAUCUACUAUUCUAUUUCAUGGAUUUGUUUGGUAGACUAUGUUUUAUUUGCAUUGGAUAUUUUUGCAAUGCCUUUGAAGGUAGAGAAGCUUGUUUAAAUGCUUUAUUGCAGUUAUCCUUUUCAUUUUCAGAUAUAUAUUUUUAGGGAGAAGAGAAAGCUAAAAAUCUCUUAACAAGAUCAUUGGCAUGUCAAUUUUUCUUGGGAUCCUGUUUUUGCUUCCUAUGAUUUGAGGCAAUAAUGCUAUGAAUAACAGCGAUGCCAGAGUUCAUGAUGCCAGGCACUACCAACACUGGGCCAGUGUCUUUAAUGUAACAAUGUUAAAAGGUUUAACUAGUGUCCCAGUUUUCAAUACUGGAAACCUGGGGCACAGGGCGUUUAACCAACUCCCUUAAGGUGCCUACAGCUAGUAAAUGCAGGCAGUGAAUGGGAGCUGGAAGUCAAGCUCAAGCCAUCCAGGUGUGAGGAGCUGCACUGCCUUCAGGCUUUGUUGUUGAACACAUUGAGGCUCUACACUGCUAUAACCCAGUGAACUCUCUUUUGUCUUUAUGGCUUUGUUUUCUUUAUCAUUACCAAUGAAACUGGAUGAAGUCUAAUCUAAUAUUAACAUCCCUGUA